rnacentral:rRNA from 1 species
GAUGAACGCUGGCGGCGUGCCUAAUACAUGCAAGUCGAGCGAACGGACGAGAAGCUUGCUUCUCUGAUGUUAGCGGCGGACGGGUGAGUAACACGUGGAUAACCUACCUAUAAGACUGGGAUAACUUCGGGAAACCGGAGCUAAUACCGGAUAAUAUUUUGAACCGCAUGGUUCAAAAGUGAAAGACGGUCUUGCUGUCACUUAUCGAUGGAUCCGCGCUGCAUUAGCUAAUUGGUAAGGUAACGGCUUACCAAGGCAACGAUGCAUAGCCGACCUGAGAGGGUGAUCGGCCACACUGGAACUGAGACACGGUCCAGACUCCUAAGGGAGGCAGCAGUAGGGAAUCUUACGCAAUGGGCGAAAGCAUGACGGAGCAACGCCGAGUGAGUGAUGAAGGUCUUCGGAUCGUAAAACUCUGUUAUUAGGGAAGAACAGAUGUGUAAGUAACUGUGCACAUCUUGACGGUACCUAAUCAGAAAGCCACGGCUAACUACGUG